GGCCAAACCGUAGCUCAGGGGAUAGAGCAGCGGUUUCCUAAACCGCGUGCCGCAGGUUCGAUUCCUGCCGGGGCCGCCA
rnacentral:tRNA from 1 species